GAAGAUGCCAGCAGGGCAUCACAGGGCAGCUUGAUGGCUGAGCCAACCUUUGGCUGGGAUAAAAGGGCUCUCAUCAGCAGGGCAGAGUGUGGGACCACACCAAAGGCUUCAGAAACUACAAAAAGAGGAAUCUGUGCCCUCCUGGUCAGUAGAAGAUUUUUCUAAUGUAGACAAUCCUUCGGUGAUCGACCUGGAUUCUGUCUGGAAGGCUCCCACAGAAUAGUGGGGAAACUGGGCAGGAGAUGAGCAGCAUCAAACAUGAGAGAAGAGAAAGAGAAGAAAUCCAGGGAGACAGCACACUUUGGCUACAGUGGGGAGAGUGUGCAGAGCUCUUUGCAAACAGCUAUUUUAAGCCAAGAUGUGUCUCUUACCCAGAGGGAUAGUCUACUUGAAGACUGUCAGCACACACUCCAAAAGGAUUUGCCAAGGGGGAAAGAAGUCAUUAAUUUCUGUGCAUCUGGACUCAAAAGCAAAACACAGCGUAAGAAGACAAUUGAAGUGAAGGAAGCAAGAGAUGGAGCUGGACUGAUGCUUCUGAGUCUUCUGUAUUCCUAGACUAGCAUUUGGUUUUCCAAGAGGGAAACUGAAGGGGAGUAUCUUCUUCAUUAGGUUGAUGUGACCAGGGCAGGUCUGUCUUCUCUCCAUUGUCUAGUUUCCUCUUUUCUUUCUCCCUGCUCUGCCAGGGAGAAAAAAAAGAAGGGUGAGCACAGUGACCACUGGGCUUUUGCAACAUGGUAUUCCCUAACAGCAAUUUGAUUAUGCAUUGCCAGCAGGAGCAGAUAGCCUUAAUCAUGGAAGAAAAAUGCUUUCUUAGACAAAUGUAUUCCAAGAUUACUGUACAACUGGGCUGUGUUUUAUCUCUGUUGAAAGGUCACCUAGAGGUAUUUUUAACAAUCUGCAAAGGUAAUUCCCAAAAGCCAGUGAAGAUAAAACGAGGCCAAUUUUAUACCAGCAAAAAGCUUAUUGAGAGAGAAAUGGCUCACAGUGCAACAAAGGAAGGCUGUAGAAAAUGUUAGCUCAUUUGGGAUGGGAAGUACAAAAGAACAGUGUUAAGUGGAUUUUGGACCAUUUAGCGGUGAUGCCUUGAUGCUCAAUGAAAUGAGAUGUGGAAGACACUCCCCAGAGCGUCCUAAUUGUUUUUCAUUCAUUUAUCACUGAAUACAUUGCUCUGGACUCUUAUCUUACUCUCAUUUCUCUUCCCUCUCACCCACUGUGGUCUCUCCCGAUCUUUGAGAUGAUUUUGCUCCUUGAAUUGAUGCCCCCAUUUUAAGGGAAAAACUCACUGCCCACAGUCCUUCUAAUGGUCAUUAGGACAAGCCAAAGAGUCAACCGAGUGCUGCCAGGCCACUCUUUAUCUUGCACGUCCAAUUAACUGCUCUAGCUUCGUAUGGACCUUAAUGAAUAAUCUUAGCAGUACUGUUCAGAUUCCUUAGGACAGCACUGUUCCUGUUGGCAUGCUUAUGAUGAGCCAGAAGGAGUUUGAUUUGCAUGCAUGCACCAAAUGCAGCUGUCUGCAGCUGUGCAAGCUCAUCUUUUGGAGAUGUACAUCAAAUAAUAAAAUAAAUGAUGACAUAUCA
ensembl:lncRNA